UGCACGUUGACAAGGAGAAGAGUGAGAUUAUAUGUAAAAUUAACUUUCUUCCUUAGCUAAGUUUACAAUGACAUUAUACCGGUAGUUAUCGUACUAUACGCGAAAGGAAAUGAAUUAUUUUGAUAAAAGACUGUAAACAUGUUUGUAGUCGCAACACAGGAACGUAUUUAUAAGUGAUAAGAUAACAUAUUGUACUGUGACACGUAAAAUCCACAAUGGCCGGUUCUUGUAACGCACAACAGCUAUGGGGCAGGGGUUUUGAUUCCCCGAAGCUAAAGCAAAUACUCAGAAAUCCUGCUGGAUAAUACAUUGUCGCUAAUAUUAUGAUAUCAGGAAGAAACAUAUUGCUUUUAAGGUUAUCAACAUUGGAUAAAGUAUGUCGUUGUUGUAACCAUAGUGAUAACCUGUUUAUACGUCACUUUAUACCAAACAGGUUACAUACAACGCACAAAUAUACCAAACACAUUUUUUUUACCUGAACCAAAGGCGAUCAACAAAACAGAGGUAAUACCAAACAAACAGUCACAACUUAAGUAUGCAACACCCACGACUACUUUUGUCCCUGUUUUACCUGUAGUCAGAAGUGACUGGAAUGAAACGUUUCCAGUCUUUUAUGAUGUACCUAAGGAUAUAUAUAAAACUGAUUGGUGGAUGUCAGCAGCGUUUAUAGAAUGGGAUUUAAAACACAGAAGAGUUGAUUACCAUUGUCAGGACAUUAAAAAAGUUGGAAACUGGUGGAUCUGCUUAGAUGAAAAAUAUGUAAUUAAGAAACCAUGUUUAGUGUAUUCAUUUGGAAUUGCUAAUGAUUUUAGUUUUGAUGAUGAUAUGGCUGAACAUGGCUGUGAAGUACACUCCUUUGAUCCAAGUAUGAAAAAAAAUGAUUAUACCAGACCGUCGUCAGUACGUUUCCAUGCUUUAGGACUGAGUAGUUAUACAGAUGACAAGUUCCUGCCUCGUAAGGAUAUUUAUGUUCAUGAUAAUGAAACAUGGACUAUUAUGACACUCAGUUUAAUAAAAACAGCUCUAGGUCAUAAAGAAAGGGAUAUUGAUGUGUUGAAAAUAGACGUUGAAGGCCAUGAGUGGGCAGUAAUACAAAACCUGUUUGAAGAUAAACUCUUCUCACAUGUUAAACAAUUCAUGUUAGAGUAUCAUUUAUUCCCGGAUUGGCCACUGAAAUCCGACUAUUCAAAACUUUUGCGGACUUAUAAAAAGUUACAUGAUAUAGGAUUUCAAAAAUUUGUGACAGCCAUACAUCCAUUGAUUCAUAUACCAAAACAGUUUAAUAUUCAGGCUGAUGUUGCGUAUGUCAAUACAAAAUAUAUUACGUCCAGAAAGAAACGAAGACCUCUCUUCAAAUUGAAUAAAAAAAAGACAAAAAGGUGAAAUGAUUUAAUGCGGUAUUAAUAGGAGUUAUAAUAACUGAGGAUAGUAUGGAAUUGAAAAUUAUGAACAUGGUUGCCUUUUGCACUUUAUCGUAGAAUCUCGGUGAAAUUACAUGUAUGGUUUUGACAUGUAGCUUAUUAUGUUGUUAGUAGAUGAUUUUAUGUGAAUUAUAACAUUAUAUUUCUUGUCCUAUUUUGCGACUGUUGGUAAUAUAAUGCAUACGUACAAAAUGUAAUAAUAUACAUGAGUUAAAUGCUAACCUUCAAAAUGAUAUUUAUAUAAAUGAAAACUGUGUUCGGCAAAUUGUAUGAAACUAAAUGCCAAAAAUUGUAAAUCAAUGAUUAUCGGUUCAAAACAGAGACUUUAUUCAACUGAGAAUAGUUUAGAUAUCCAUAUUUCAGAUGAACGAUUAGAGACUGUAGAUUGUGAAAAACUUCUUGGUUUAUAUAUCGACAAUAACCUAAAUUGGAAUGAGCAAAUAGAUAAAAUGUCGUGUACAAUAUCAAAUACAAUCAACACAAUCAACUUAUUACAAAAGAUACGAAAGUAUUUACCUAUGCAUAUGUCGUGUACAAGUUGCGAUUUUGUACAUGUUAUAACAUGUACAGAAAUAUUGUACAUGUUAUAAUUUGUACAAUGCAAAAGUACAUGUUAUAACAUGUACAAAAUAUUGCUUAAAAAUUGUUUUAACUUGUACAACAUUAGAAAAUUAAUUCAAAUAAAGCAGACUAUACAUUUGAAAUUUAUUGAUUAAUGAGAACACCAAUCAAAAGCUUCAAAUGUUAUUUCUUUAGAGCACAGUGAUCACAAAGUUUCAGAAAUAUCUUUAUUGUUUCAGGGCUUAUGUUGGCAGAAUGUGUUUUCGUGUCAUUGUUUGUUUUAUGCAGUCCAACAUGGCCUACAGCAGUGUGGCUGUUUAAUAAUAGCAUACAUUUCCUCAAUGGCAACAAAGUAGAUAACUGGUUCAUCUAAAAAUUUUAUUAACGUUUUAAAGUAUACCCUCCUCCCUCUUUUUUUUAACAUGCAAACAUUAAAGCAAGGUCCCCUAUGCACGUUCUAUAAAAGCCAGAGAGAGAAAAUGAUUUUCAUUAGACAACGCUUCAUUAUAAAUAACUAUGGAAUUAUUGAAUCUGCUCUUCAACAUGUUUGGCCUUGAGCAUAGCUGAUGUAAAUCUUGUGCAUCAAAUUAUUAUUGUUUGAUAAUUAAUCAGACCAUAUAUUGCAUGAGUCGAAUGUCAUCUUGAUGUUUUAAAUUUCUAUUCUCUCCUUUGAAAACAUGGUAUUGUUUGCAGAGGAAUUUUUCACUUGCAUCUUAAGUCUCAACUAGUACGAACGUAUUUUCCUAUAGCCUUCUGUGGGGAAACUCACACUCAUAAUUCAUCGAGUGAGAAUACUGAAUAAUGUUUGUUGACUAUAUGUGUGCUUUAAAAGGUAUUAAAUAAUUAUAAAAACUAUUCAUCUGGUCAAUAACUGUAUAACUAAAGGACAAAACACACUAACAUGAAUGAACAAUAAGUUAACGAAGAGAAUAUUAUUGAGGUUACUGACAUGUGUUGUAAUAAUAGAAACAUAUCUUUAUUUUCAAAUUUUGUACAAGUUAAAACCAUUUUAAGCUAUUUUGUACAUGUUAUAACAUGUACGAGGUACUUUUGUACUUGUUAUAACUUGUAUGUUUGCAUUGUACAAGUUAUAACUUGUACAAUAUUUUUGUGCAUGUUAUAACAUGUACAAAAUUGCAAUUUUUACACGACACAUAUACGUAUUAUUUAUUUUAAUGCUUAUAUUCUGCCAUUGUUUGAUUAUUGUUGCAAAUGGGGUAGUUAAAAUGAAAGUGGAAUAAAUAAACCUAAUAAGUUAUUAAAGAAA